AGCAGUCGCCACGGUAAUACAGAGGGUGCGAGCGUUAAUCGGAUUUACUGGGCGUAAAGCGUGCGUAGGCGGCUUCUUAAGUCGGAUGUGAAAUCACUGAGCUUAACUUAGGAAUUGCAUUCGAUACUGGGAAGCUAGAGUAUGGGAGAGGAUGGUAGAAUUCCAGGUGUAGCGGUGAAAUGCGUAGAGAUCUGGAGGAAUACCGAUGGCGAAGGCAGCCAUCUGGCCUAAUACUGACGCUGAGGUACGAAAGCAUGGGGAGCAAACAGGAUUAGAUACCCCCGUAGUCCCUGUCUCUUAUAC
rnacentral:rRNA from 1 species